CAGUGUGGUCCUCCCGCACCAGGACGGCCCGUCCCAUGAAGACGAAGGUGCCGUACAAGUCGCUGUAGUGAACCUCACACGGAACCUGACAGAUAGGGAACACAUCUAUGUCACACUUUGGGCGGUGAACAAGGUUGGAUUGCACAGCAUUGUGGUCCAUGAAGCCCUGGAAGUGGUUCCGUCUAACCCGCACAGCGGCCUCCUGUCAUUGGUCAGACGAUGUGACGUACAUACUUGUGAGGGCGACUGCACAUGCGCACCACAGAACCAGAAAUGUGCUCCACUUCUCACCGGAUGUCAAAACGUCGCAAACCGUACAGAGUAUCAGCAGGUUCUUGUGUACGACCUGACGGACUUGAGUAGUCAAACAGCACCCGACGCUGACGUCACACUGUCGCAAUGCACUCUGGGCGCAAGAUGGGAAACGGUACCGGGAGGUAUACCUGUUCAAAGGUGUGAGUGGAGUGCCGGACAGGAGGGAAAGGCAGCAGGUACCGGGGUGUUUGAUUUAAAUAACGACAGGAUCUGGUACGACGUGGGACUGAGAACUUCAGCCGUGCUGAGCAUCAGGCGGGACAGAC